AAGUGGACGGGUGGGGAGCCUGCGGCUGGCCACCUCCGCACCCUCGGAGCGCUCCAGGGGGCCCCAACCCAAGCCCUGCACCUACUCUUGAAGGCGACGGCCGCGUUGUUGACCAGUACGUUGAGCCCCCCGUACUCCUUGCGCAGGAAGUCGCGCAGGGCGCGGAUGCUCUGCAAGUCGUCGAUGUCCAGUUGGUGGAAGCGCGGGCUCAGGCCCUCCGCCUGCAGCUGCUGCACGGCCGCCUGGCCCCGCGCCACGUCCCGCGCGGAAAACUAGACAAUCCACCAGCCCAGGAGGGGACAAGCAGGCUUAUUCCUCCUCCUCGUCAUCUCUGGCUCCAGCCCCACCCUGGCCCUUGCUGGCAUUCUUCCUCUUCACGUGGCUGGGGUUGGCCACCCCAAUAGGGAAGCAGAGGGAGAAGUCAAUGUGCUUCUGGGAAUCCAGGCGGACAGUGAAGAACAGGAUAUUUACCACCUGCUCACGGACACGGAUAUGACACUGUUGAAUCAGCACAUGAGCGUGGCGGAUGGACUUAGCCAAGCCAAGCUUGAAGACCUGGGUCUGUAGGAAUCUCUAAGAAAUCAUUGAUCUUCAGGCCCAGGAUGUAAUCCAGCUUCAUCUUGCCCUCAUCCAGCACCCCAGUGCGGACCAGCCACUGCAGCAGGGCAAUGCCUUCGAACAGACGCCGUGGGUCCUUCUCAUCAAGCGUCAGCAGCUCCCGGGCGGCCUUAUGGAUCUUGACCAGGGUAAAUUUGACCCUCCAGACCUCACAUUUGUUCUGGAGCCCAUACUCACCAAUCAGCUUUAGCUUUUGGUCGAGAUGAGGUUUCUCGAAGGGUCUCUGCAGGGUCACAUAAGUUUGGCAACAAACCCAGCUCUGGGCCGCUGGCAUGUUGGCUCCACUUGCCCGUCUAUGCCUAAGCACAGGCCCUGGUCACUGAGAAAGAGCUCAAAUUUUUUAUAUAUUUCAUCUAAGGUGUUGAUUCUAUUGAUACCCUUAUCCUUUUAACAUGCCCUUAUCCUUUUAAUGUUGGUAAUGAUGCUACCUGUCAUUUCUGAGACUGGUUUGUGUCUUUCGUGUUUUUUUCUGAUCUGUCUGGCUAGAGGUUUACCAAUUGAUUUGAUUUUCCUCAAACUUCUGGUUACAAUGAUUCUCUCUCUCUCUCUUUUCCUGAUUAUAUUAAUUUCUGUUCUGAUCUUUGUUUCCUUUCUUCUGCUUACUGGAUUUUAUUUGCUCUUUUUCUGGUUUCUUACUGUAAAGGCAGAAGUCAUUGAUUUGCAUUGAUUUGAGACUUCUUUUCUAAUGUAGGCAGUAAGUGGUGUAAAUUCCCUUUUAGUAUGACUUUAGUGGCAUCUCACAUUGAUAUGUUUUCAAUUUCAUUCAGUUUAUUUUUAUUUAUUUUUUAAAUUAUUUAUUUAUUUAUUUAUUUUGAGUUGUGUAGCCCUUUAUUAGCAACUAAAAUAGAAGGUAUCUGUUGUACAACAUGGGUAGUAAUUGACUAUAACUGGAGAUUUAUUAUAUUCUAAUACAGAUCAUUUAUAAAUGCAAUUUCUUUAUUAAAAAGCUUCCACCU
ensembl:lncRNA CBR3-AS1 CBR3 antisense RNA 1